UUGGUGAGGUAACGGCCCACCAAGGCGAAGACGGGUAGCGGGACUGAGAGGUUGGCCCGCCACAUCGGAACUGAGACACUGUCCGGACCCCCACGGGGGGCUGCAGUAACGAAUCUUGGGCAAUGGGCGAAAGCCUGACCCAGCGACGCCGCGUGCGGGAGGAAGUCCUUCGGGAUGUAAACCGCUGUCAGGAACGUGAAAGUCCACUUCGGUGGAUUGAUCUAAUCCAAAGGAAGUCACGGCUAACUCUGUGCCAGCAGCCGCGGUAAGACAGAGGUGGCAAGCGUUGUUCGGUAUCACUGGGCUUAAAGCGUGUGUAGGCGGAGACGUAAGCAUUUUGUGAAAUCCCCCGGCUCAACCGGGGAAUUGCUUGAUGUACUGCGUUUCUUGAGGCAAGUAGGGGUGCGAGGAACUCUUGGUGGAGCGGUGGAAUGCGUAGAUAUCAAGAGGAACGCCGGUGGUGAAGACGUCGCACUAGGCUUGUCCUGACGCUGAGACACGAAAGCGUGGGGAGCGAACGGGAUUAGAUACCCCGGUAGUCCACGCCGUAAACGAUGCCUACUAGGUUGUGCGGGUUCUGACGCCGGCACAGCCGAAGCUAAAGUGUUAAGUAGGCCGCCUGGGGAGUACGGUCGCAAGGCUAAAACUCAAAUGAAUUGACGG
rnacentral:rRNA from 1 species